GAGUCUGCUCUUCAGAGUCUUCAGACUUGCUACUUGGAGUGUCUAGAAGUCAUACAGUGAAUUGGAGUCACUUGGCAUUUUGACUUUGGAAUGAAAAUAUUGUGUGGCACGGCGGGGAGGCAGGGCAAUGUGAAAGGGAUCCCUGCAGGAUGCUGGUAGCAUUGGCUGGUGCAAAGUGUUGGAGUCCCUGAACUGGACAAGAGGAACGCUUUUAUAGGAGUACAGGGAGGCUGCAGCAGCUCAGAGUCAGUAAAGGGAACAGGAGAAGAGAGACAUGGUGACAGUGGGAGACUCAUUGUACACUGCAGGAAUUGAACUAAAAAGGCAACUCGAAGAUAAUGGCAGCCAGGCUUCACCCUGUCAGAGACAGAGGGUAAGAUGUGUAAAUGGAGGACUGUGUAUAAACCUGUGGGGUUUGCCCAUUCUAAUGGUCAGCUCUCAGUGUGGAUGCUUUCAGUUAUGGGUACAUGUCCAACACCUUUCCCUGUUCUGACUGAGACUAUCCCAACAAUAAUGAGUGUGCAUAUCAUGCAGAAUAUAAUUUUUCUCAAA
rnacentral:lncRNA from 1 species